CGGUCGAGGUUCGAGUGGCGGACGGGUGAGUAACACGUAGGAACCUAUCCGAGGGGUGGGGAUAACGGCGGGAAACCGUCGCUAAUCCCGCGUACGCUCGUAAGAGGAAAGCGUGCUCUUCGGAGGACGCGCCCGUGGAGGGGCCUGCGGCCCAUUAGCUGGUUGGUGGGGUAACGGCCUACCAAGGCGGUGAUGGGUAGCCGGUCUGAGAGGAUGGCCGGCCACACUGGGACUGAGAGACGGCCCAG
rnacentral:rRNA from 1 species